UAUGGAUAUAAAUUUUAUUUCAUCUUUAUAUUUUAAACCCUCUCUUCCACUUAUUACAGUGUAUGCCGGGUGUGCAGUGACGAAAUCAAGUUAGUAGCUUGGUGAGCUUAGUUUUACUUCGCUUUAAUUUCAAACACAAACAACCAUGUGGGAGUUUCUACGCGGUCGCUCGACCUGUUAGAAGUAGUAGCCAAAUUUCUUUCAAAUCACUAGAACACGCCAAAAUAAUGUAGUCUUACAUUGCUAUAAAAAGACGUGAUGACCAUGGCUGGAAUGCCUUAAAUUAUGUCUUUUUGAUCAGAGCUGACCAAUGACUAAAAACAACAAAAAUACACAUACAUCCACGAACUUUAAACACCAACGUAUAUCCAUACUCACACAUACCAACACAAAUAAGAAUGUAUGCGGCCAGUAAUUUUGAAGAGAUGGAAGUAGGUGAUAUCAGAGAUCCUCGUACUUGACUGGUACUUUAUUUUAUCGGUCCCGAAAGAAUGAAAGGCAAAGUGAGACUCGGUAGGAUUUGAUCUGAAAGUCUGAAGAAAUGCUACAAAAGUUUUUUCUCCGACGCUCUAACGUCAAUCUAUAAUCCUAAAAAUGUUAACAAUAAUUGUUUUCAAUCUAAGCACAAUGCCAGCAGUUUUGAGGGAAUUGGAUUCGUCGAUACAUUAGUCAGAACUUAACUGGUACUUUAUUUUAUAGCCCUCGAAACAAUGAAAGGUAAAGUUGACCUUAGCGGGAAGUGAACGUAAAGAUUCAGAAGAAAUACUGUAAAGUAUUUUGUCCAUUACCAAUCCAGUGGCUUAUUAUAAUAAAAAUAUGGAUAAAUAAAAAAUAAUAAAAAUGGAAAA